rnacentral:rRNA from 1 species
AGUCAUAUGCUUGUCUCAAAGACUAAGCCAUGCAUGUCUAAGUUUAAAUGCUAAACAAUGAAACUGCGAACGGCUCAUUAAAACAGUUAUAGUUUAUUUGGUAAUCGAAUUUACAUGGAUAACCGUGGUAAUUCUAGAGCUAAUACAUGCAGGUGAGCCCUACUUUGCGGUGCGGGCUGUAUUUAUUAGAUAACAAACCAAUAUUCCUCGUGUCUAUUGUGGUGACUCAUAAUAACUGAUCGAAUCGCAAGGCCCUUGGCCGCGAUAAGUCAUUCAAGUUUCUGCCCCAUCAGCUUUCGAUGGUAGUGUAUUGGACUACCAUGGCGUUUACGGGUAACGGAGGAUUAGGGUUCGAUUCCGGAGAGGGAGCCUGAGAAACGGCUACCACAUCUAAGGAAGGCAGCAGGCGCGUAAAUUACCCAAUCCUGACUCAGGGAGGUAGUGACAAGAAAUAGCGGGUCGGAGUUUAACUCCGGGACUGAAAUGAGACGAAUUUACACCCCUUAUCGAGGACCGAU